rnacentral:rRNA from 1 species
GACGAACGCUGGCGGCGUGCUUAACACAUGCAAGUCGAACGGUGAAGGGGUCUGCUUUUGUGGGCCCUGGAUGAGUGGCGAACGGGUGAGUAACACGUGAGUAACCUGCCCCCUUCUUCUGGAUAACCGCAUGAAAGUGUGGCUAAUACGGGAUAUUCUGGGUCUGUCGCAUGAUGGGUCUGGGAAAGAUUGCGCCUUUGGGUGUUUUUGGUGGGGGAUGGGCUCGCGGCCUAUCAGCUUGUUGGUGGGGUGAUGGCUUACCAAGGCGGUGACGGGUAGCCGGCCUGAGAGGGUGGACGGUCACACUGGGACUGAGACACGGCCCAGACUCCUACGGGAGGCAGCAGUGGGGAAUAUUGCACAAUGGGCGCAAGCCUGAUGCAGCGACGCCGCGUGAGGGAUGGAGGCCUUCGGGUUGUAAACCUCUUUCGCCAGUGAAGCAGGCCUGCUCCUUGUGGGUGGGUUGACGGUAGCUGGAUAAGAAGCGCCGGCUAACUACGUG